rnacentral:rRNA from 1 species
AUUGAACGCUGGCGGCAGGCCUAACACAUGCAAGUCGAACGAGUGGCGGACGGGUGAGUAAUGUCUGGGAAACUGCCUGAUGGAGGGGGAUAACUACUGGAAACGGUAGCUAAUACCGCAUACCAUCAGAUGUGCCCAGAUGGGAUUAGCUUGUUGGUGGGGUAACGGCUAACCAAGGCGACGAUCCCUAGCUGGUCUGAGAGGAGGACCGGCCACACUGGAACUGAGACAUGGUCCAGAUUCCGACGGAAGGCAGAAGUGGGGAAUAUUGCGCAAUGGGCGCAAGCCUGAUGCAGCCAGGCCGAGUGUAUGAAGAAGGCCGUCGGGUGGUAAAGUACUUUCAGCGGGGAGGCGUUACCCGCAGAAGAAGCACCGGCGAACUCCGUGCCAGCAGCAGCGGUAAGAC